rnacentral:rRNA from 1 species
AGUGAACGCUGGCGGUAGGCCUAACACAUGCAAGUCGAACGGCAGCACAGUAAGAGCUUGCUCUUACGGGUGGCGAGUGGCGGACGGGUGAGGAAUACAUCGGAAUCUACUUUUUCGUGGGGGAUAACGUAGGGAAACUUACGCUAAUACCGCAUACGACCUACGGGUGAAAGCAGGGGAUCUUCGGACCUUGCGCGAUUGAAUGAGCCGAUGUCGGAUUAGCUAGUUGGCGGGGUAAAGGCCCACCAAGGCGACGAUCCGUAGCUGGUCUGAGAGGAUGAUCAGCCAGAGUGGAAGAGGAACACGGGCCAGACUACUACGGGAGGCAGCAGUGGGGAAUGUUGGACAAUGGGCGCAAGCGUGAUACAGCCAUACGGCGUGAGUGAAGAAGGCCUUCGGGUUGUAAAGCUGCUUUGUUGGGAAAGAAAAGCAGCAGGUUAAUACCCCGCGGGUCUGACGGUACGCAAAGAAUAAGCACCGGCUAACUUCGUG